rnacentral:rRNA from 1 species
UACAGAGGAGCCAAGCGUUGUCCGGAUUGACUGGGCGUAAAGCGCACGUAGGCGGUUGCGCGCGUGGGGUGUGAAAUCUGGCCGCUUAACGGCCAGGCGCCAUCCCAUACGGCGCGACUGGAGUGAUGCAGAGGUCGAUGGAAUUGCCGGUGUAGUGGUGAAAUGCGUAGAGAUCGGCAGGAACACCCAGGGGGAAACCAGUCGACUGGGCAUCUACUGACGCUGAGGUGCGAGAGCGUGGGGAGCGAACCGG